CAACCGCUAGAUGUAGUCGUGGCCGAGUGGUUAAGGCGAUGGACUAGAAAUCCAUUGGGGUCUCCCCGCGCAGGUUCGAAUCCUGCCGACUACGCUUCCGCAUUUUUUGGAUUAUUAUUUUUUUACAAUCGUUUUUUAUCAGCUCUUUUUCCUUCCUUCUCCCCACGGGGCAGGAGGCCGCGCCAUGCAGCACAGCGCCGCGCCCGCCGUGCUGGGCACCACCAGGCAAGUCCAUAAUGCUCACACGGGGAUAGAUCUGUCAGUGCCAGAGUACCAGGAAAUCCGUGGGAAGAUGAUGUCCGGCCAUGUGGAAUAUCACAUUGUAGCUGUCACCCGACUAGCUGCAUUCAAGUCGGCAAAACACAGACCUGAAGACGUGGUUCAGUUUAUGGUCUCUAAGAAGUACAGCGAGAUUGAGGAGUUUUACCAAAAGCUGGUUGCACACUAUCCACACACUUCUCUGCCACAGUUACCAAGAAAAGUUCUGUUUGUUGGAGAAUUGGAUAUCCGAGAACGAAGAACAGCGUUCAAUGACAUCAUGAAAUUCAUUGCUAAAGAUGUGGAUCUUGCCACGAGCCCCGAGUUAUUGGAGUUUUUAGGAACAAAAUUUACUGGAGUCAUUGACUUUAAGGGUAAAAAUGUUCCUGAUGACAGGGAGGAGGAGGAGGAACAUGAAGUGUUAGAUUUCUUCAAAGAGAGGACAUCUGACACAGUCUCUCAGAUGCCAGCGGUAAAAGGUCAAGGAGCCAAAAAGGAAGAAGAGGAGGAGGAGGAGGAAGAUGUAGAUCCUCUUGGUAUAAUCAGAUCUAAAAAACCGAAGAAGCCCCCACCUCCUCCAGCCAAGGAAGACAGGCCCAAGUUAACCAUUUUUGAUGAGGAAAUCGAUCCAGAUGAAGGACUGUUUGGCCCAGUAAAAGAUUUUUCAUCCACCGGUUCCAAGAAGGACUCAUCAGUCAAAGAUAACCUGAAGUUAUUUGAAGACCCAGACCUUGGUGGGACUGUUAAACUUGGUGACUCACUACUGCUGCCAACUGCCUGUGGACAGAAAGAGCAAAGAUUAAGCACCAGCCUUGAUGAGGACACUGAGGAGCUAUUCAGUUGAACCAUCAUUUCUACAGUGGGAUGGAGAAGGCAGACUGGCUGCUGGCUCACUAUUGAAAAGGAAAACACAAGCCACUUGGAAAUGAAGACCUGCACUGAUUGGUGCCAGUCAUCCUUUUGACCUGGGAGAAGAUGGUCCCAGAGACAAUUUCAAACGUCUGUAUUCUGGGGUGCUUGCAAUCCUGCUGUCCAAAGCAGCUGCACAUCACAUUUUCAAGUUGUCGGAGCUGUGCUCCUAAUUAAAAAUCUGUUCUAUUAUUUAUAUGUCCCUAUCAUACCCUAGAUGCUUUCCCCACAGAAAUAACAACUCAGGACCAGGUUCUCCUCCCUUCUGCAAGCCCUAGUCUUGCUCUUCUACCACCAAGCAACUGUAAACACACUGAAUCUCCCCUGGGGAGGAUUCCUGCGGUGUGCAGCACCUAUUGCAACUAUAAUUCAGUGUCUGUAUCAGCUGCUUCCUAUUCCAAUCUGCAAAAGACAGCAUGAAGCCAAGCAGCGCUGGGAGAGUCAUGGCUUCCCUACUGAAGUGCCACCACUUUACCUGGCAGUAAGCAGCGGCCAGGCCAACAGACUGCACGCGCAGUGGGGAAGAGACCUUUUGACCAAGGGAUUCGAUUGCAAAGUCCCAUCCAUGGGGUCUUUCAUGUCCCCACACAUCAGUUUUCAGCUAAUUAGACUCUAUUGCCCUGGCAACAUUGAAGGGUUGCCAAAGGCUAAAUAGGAAAGAGACACCUCUGGAAUUUACUGAAGAGGAGUAAAAUCUGCCCACACCAGGGCUGCACACUGUUUGGGGUUUCAGCCCUUCUCUCCAUUUCUCACUUCUGCCCUUCCCAUAUGGCAUUGCUAUGUCUCUUUCUUUUCUCUACCCCAGAGUUUUCUGCCUCACUUCCUGAGGAAGGAUCUCCCUUUGUACUUCCACAUGUUAGGGAUACUGGAGUGGAAAACCUCUCAGGCUGGUAGCACGGUUGCUGCUGAGCAGACAGGGCAUUUCUAUCCCUUUCAUCAGAGAUCCCCACACAUGCCCAUAGGGCUGAGUUAAUCCACCUGACAGGGAGGAAAGGUCGAGUAAGGAUUUUGAGUCUCAGUUGCAGGGAAUACAAAUCGUUCGAAUGUGCAUCUAUGCCACUAAGCUAUCACCUCCGGCUAUUCAUAGCAUGUAGAAGGGACUGUUAUACACAUGCUUUUUCUGCCCGAAAAGCAGUCUGUGGUUUUUAGGAUUCAGCUCUUUAUUUCCCUUUAGCUCAUGUCCUUACCUGCCACUGUGCUGAGCCCAGGAUCACUGCUGAGGAUUAUACCCCAACCACGCGCUCCUGAUCAGCACACACCCCAGGCAAGCAACGCUCCCCACUCUCAGACUGUCCAUCUUGCAAAAUAAUAGAUAUAUCUGGAUUGUAGUGAGGCCCCUGAUACCUACAGCCCUUCAGUAGCUCAUGUCUCAUUGUUGCCUUCUACCCUCUGUCUGUCUGUAUCCAUCCCUAGUAUUUUAUCUUACUGAACUCUUUGAGGUAUGGACCAUUUUUUCCUUCUGUGUUUGUACAGCAUGUAGAAAAAUGGAGUGCUAGUCCAGGAGAGGAGCUACACAGCUUCAACAUAAUACAAACAGCUAAUAAUAUUAACAGGUAUUAAUAUUCACUGGAAAUAAAUGUGUAUAUAUAUAUAAUUAUUUAAAAUAUAUUAUAUAUAUUAAAUAUGUAUACAUUAGCAAUAGACUAAUAUUAGCAAAGGACUGUGUCUUCCACCAUUACAUGCAGAGGUGAUGCUAAUCUCUCCUGUGCAGGUUAUCUCACUGUAUUAAUUUGUUCUCAAUCACUGAGAACACAUAUUAUAUUACAGGUUCGCAUUAAAAAGGUUAACAGAGAGACUGCACACUGACAGUUAUUUUCACUACCUAGAAAUGAUUCAUUAGGCUGCAAUAAGUAAUCACAGUGGAAGGCUCCAUGUAACAACAAUACCUAGAAACACUGACUGCUCAGAAGCUAAUACAAUCAUUUUUGCUUUCAGCAACUCAAUUUUUCCUAACCCUUCUCUGGAUGAACUUUGCCUUGAAUAAACAGCAACAUCUGGAAUUCAGCAAAAUACACUGUGAAGGGAAUAAUAUGUCGAAAGCAGUUUUGUUGAAAAGGACAAACCCAUUUAUUACUUGAACCAAACAAUACAAUCGCUAAAUGUCAGAUUAAAUAAAAAAUUUCAAAUUCACAAUG